UACCAGCUGGCUGCAACUGUUUAUUAAAAACACAGCACUGUGCAAACACGAAAGUGGACGUAUACGGUGUGACGCCUGCCCGGUGCCGGAAGGUUAAUUGAUGGGGUCAGCGCAAGCGAAGCUCCUGAUCGAAGCCCCGGUAAACGGCGGCCGUAACUAUAACGGUCCUAAGGUAGCGAAAUUCCUUGUCGGGUAAGUUCCGACCUGCACGAAUGGCGUAAUGAUGGCCAGGCUGUCUCCACCCGAGACUCAGUGAAAUUGAACUCGCUGUGAAGAUGCAGUGUACCCGCGGCAAGACGGAAAGACCCCGUGAACCUUUACUAUAGCUUGACACUGAACAUUGAGCCUUGAUGUGUAGGAUAGGUGGGAGGCUUUGAAGUGUGGACGCCAGUCUGCAUGGAGCCGGCCUUGAAAUACCACCCUUUAAUGUUUGAUGUUCUAACGUGGACCCGUGAUCCGGGUUGCGGACAGUGUCUGGUGGGUAGUUUGACUGGGGCGGUCUCCUCCUAAAGAGUAACGGAGGAGCACGAAGGUUGGCUAAUCCUGGUCGGACAUCAGGAGGUUAGUGCAAUGGCAUAAGCCAGCUUGACUGCGAGCGUGACGGCGCGAGCAGGUGCGAAAGCAGGUCAUAGUGAUCCGGUGGUUCUGAAUGGAAGGGCCAUCGCUCAACGGAUAAAAGGUACUCCGGGGAUAACAGGCUGAUACCGCCCAAGAGUUCAUAUCGACGGCGGUGUUUGGCACCUCGAUGUCGGCUCAUCACAUCCUGGGGCUGAAGUAGGUCCCAAGGGUAUGGCUGUUCGCCAUUUAAAGUGGUACGCGAGCUGGGUUUAGAACGUCGUGAGACAGUUCGGUCCCUAUCUGCCGUGGGCGCUGGAGAACUGAGGGGGGCUGCUCCUAGUACGAGAGGACCGGAGUGGACGCAUCACUGGUGUUCGGGUUGUCAUGCCAAUGGCACUGCCCGGUAGCUAAAUGCGGAAGAGAUAAGUGCUGAAAGCAUCUAAGCACGAAACUUGCCCCGAGAUGAGUUCUCCCUGAGACUUUAGGUCUCCUGAAGGAACGUUGAAGACGACGACGUUGAUAGGCCGGGUGUGUAAGCGCAGCGAUGCGUUGAGCUAACCGGUACUAAUGAACCGUGAGGCUUAACCUUACA
rnacentral:rRNA from 3 species